rnacentral:lncRNA from 1 species
AUGGCAUUUUAAUUAGAAAGAUCAUAUCAUAGAGCACAUGUAUACUAAGUUUCAAGUUGAUUGGACUUCAACUUCAUCAAAAACUACCUUGACCAAAAACUUUAACCUGAAGCGGGACAGACCGACGAACGAACGGACGCACGAACAGACGAACGAACAGACGGACGGACAUACGGACGAACGGACGCACAGACCAGAAAACAUAAUACCCCUCUACUAUCG